UGAAUCCUUUCCCUCUCUGGAGGCAAUUCCUUUGGGGAAACCACUUAACUCCCUCUCAGCUCUGAAGAGAAUUAUGACAAAUGCUGAGCACCUGAUUUUGUACUGUGACUGUUGCUUUCUCUGCCACAGCCUAAAAUAUUCAAAGUCAUUUCACAUCAGCUCAGGAACAGACAGUUCCAGUGAAUGUUUUUCAAUUAUUUAUCUUUAACUCAUGACUGUAAGAGACUCUGAUAGUCUGAGAGUAAGGAAGAUACUUGAAGGCAGAGGCUCAGUGGGUGAACCACCAUGAAGACAGAGAAUUGAACAAGAAAUUCAAGCACCUUCAAUCAUAUAAUCAGAUGAAUCUGUGAAAAGCCUGUGGCCUGGGAACUCAGCUAGGACAUACAGCUGCACCUCAGUUUGCUGCUCAUGCUGAAGCUCAUCCCUGGUUGACAAGGUGAAGACACAAUUAAGGCCUCACUUUCAUGGGAGACUCUGCAAAGAGCUGCCAUUCCUCAGCAGUAGCCACAGGGAUAAACCCACAAACACUGAGUGUAUGAAACAGUGGCUGGAAUCAGAAAAUAGAAGCUCUUCACACC